rnacentral:rRNA from 1 species
GUGAGGAAUAUUGCGCAAUGGAGGCAACUCUGACGCAGCCAUGCCGCGUGCAGGAAGAAGGCGCUACGCGUUGUAAACUGCUUUUAACCGGGAAGAAACCCCAGGACGUGUCCUGGGUUGACGGUACCGGAGGAAUAAGCACCGGCUAACUUCGUGCCAGCAGCCGCGGUAAUACGAAGGGUGCAAGCGUUAUCCGGAUUCAUUGGGUUUAAAGGGUGCGUAGGCGGAGCGUUAAGUCAGUGGAGAAAUCCUGCAGCUUAACUGUAGACUUGCCAUUGAUACUGGCGCUCUUGAGUGCGCUUGAAGUGGGCGGAAUGUGCCGUGUAGCGGUGAAAUGCUUAGAUAUGGCACAGAACACCAAUUGCGAAGGCAGCUCACUAAGGCGAUACUGACGCUGAGGCACGAAAGCGUGGGGAUCGAACAGGAUUAGAAACCCUAGUAGUCC